GAUGAACGCUGGCGGCGUGCCUAAUACAUGCAAGUCGAGCGAACAGAUGAGGAGCUUGCUCCUCUGACGUUAGCGGCGGACGGGUGAGUAACACGUGGAUAACCUACCUAUAAGACUGGGAUAACUUCGGGAAACCGGAGCUAAUACCGGAUAAUAUAUUGAACCGCAUGGUUCAAUAGUGAAAGACGGUUUUGCUGUCACUUAUAGAUGGAUCCGCGCCGCAUUAGCUAGUUGGUAAGGUAACGGCUUACCAAGGCAACGAUGCGUAGCCGACCUGAGAGGGUGAUCGGCCACACUGGAACUGAGACACGGUCCAGACUCCUACGGGAGGCAGCAAUAGGGAAUCUUCCGCAAUGGGCGAAAGCCCGACGGAGCAACGCCGCGUGAGUGAUGAAGGUCUUCGGAUCGUAAAACUCUGUUAUUAGGGAAGAACAAAUGUGUAAGUAACUAUGCACGUCAUGACGGUACCUAAUCAGAAAGCCACGGCUAACUACGUG
rnacentral:rRNA from 1 species